AUGUGGCAGGGCUUGCAAACUAUUACUGACUACAAAGGGAAGCAAAGCCACGAGCUGCCCAUUGACACGAGCCUCCCAGACAAGCUAAAUUACUUCGAUGCUCGCUUUGAGGCAAGUAACACUGAAACAUGCAUUAGAGCAUCAGUUGUUCCAGAUGACUGGGUGAUCACUCUCUCCCUAGCCGAUGUGAGUAAGACCUUUAAACAGGUCAACAUUCACAAGGCCACAGGGCCAGAUGGAUUACCAGGACGUGUACUCCGAGCAUGUGCUGACCAACUGGCAAGUGUCUUCACUGACUUUUUCAACCUGUUCCUGACUGAGACUGUAAUACCAACAUGUUUCAAGCAGACCACCAUUGUCCCUGUGCCCAAGACCACUAAGGUAACCUGCCUAAAUGACUACCGACUAGCAGCACUCAUGUCUGUAGCCAUGAAGUGCUUUGAAAGGCUGGUCAUGGCUCACAUCAACACCAUUAUCCCAGAAACCUUAGACCCACUCCAAUUUGCAUACCGCCCCAACAGAUCCACAGAUGAUGCCAGCUAUAAUGCACUCAACACUGACCUUUCUCAUCUGGACAAAAGGAACACCUAUGUGAGAAUGUUAUUCAUUGACUACAGCUCAGCAUUCAACAUCAUAGUAUCCUCAAAGCUCAUCACUAAGCUAAGGACCUUGGGACUAAACACCUCCCUCUGCAACUGGAUCCUAGACUUCCUGACGGGCCGCCCCCAGGUGGUAAGGGUAGGUAACAACACAUCUGCCACACUGAUCCUCAACACGAGGGCCCCUGAGGGGUGUGUGCUCAGUCCCCUCCUGUACUCCCUGUUCACUCAUGACUGCAUGGCCAAGUACCACUCCAACACCAUCAUCAAGUUUGCCAAUGACACAACAGUGGUAGGCCUAAUCACCGACAACUAUGAGACAGCCUAUAGGAAGGAGGUCAGAGACCUGGCAAUGUGGUGCCAGGACAACAACCUCUCCCUCAACGUGAUCAAGACAAACGAGAUGAUUGUGGACAACAGGAAAAGGAGGACUGAGCACGCCCCCAUUCUCAUCGACGGGGCUGUAGUGGAGCAGGUUGAGAGCUUCAAGUUCCUUGGUGUCCACAUCACCAACAAACUAUCUUGGUCCAAACACCCUAAGACAAACGUGAAGAGGGCACAACAAAAUCUAUUCCCCCUCAGGAGACUGAAAAGAUUUGUCAUGGGUCCUCAGAUUCUCAAAAGGUUCUACAACAUCCUGACUGGUUGCAUCACUGCCUGGUAUGGCAACUGCUCAGCCUCCGACCGCAAGGUACUACAGAGGGUAGUGCAUACGGCCCAGUACAUCACUAGGGCCAAGCUUUCUGCCAUCCAGGACCUUCUAUACAAGGUGGUGUCAGAGGAAGGCCCUAAAAAUGGUCAAAGACUCCAGCCACCCAAGUCAUAG
rnacentral:lncRNA from 8 species